AAAUUUGGAGGUCUGGGGCCCUCCCUCCUGCUGGAGAUGUAUUCGCAUGGGUGGGCCUUGUCUUUGAAAAA
rnacentral:pre_miRNA from 1 species